UCGUGCUCAGGAAAAUCCAUCGGCUGUUCGUGCGGCCGGCGGCGUUCGUGCGUCGGGAAAAACACCACCAUGUCAUCUCUGUUCUCGUGUUCUUCUCCACCUCCUUCUUCUUCGUUGGUCCGUGCCACAGCAAGUGAGGGAGAGCAGAGAGAGUGCCAGGGCGAGUUAGAGAGACAAAGCUACGGCAACAACAGCCUUGUCCUCCCCGCUAGGGUUGCCGCCGUCGCCCCCAUCCAUGACCGGAUCCGCGGAGGUGGCUGGCAGGGUUAGGUCGAUGGCGCCGAGGAAAAGGAACAGCAGCAGGGCAGUUCUGUCGUGCAGGGUUGAGUGGCGGCCGGAGCGGGUCGGCCACAGAGAUGGUCGUCCGCGGCGUCGUCCUCAGGCAGAGAAGGGAGGGGAGGAUGAGAUGAAGAGAGGAGGGAGAGUGAGACGGCGAGCCCAUGGAGAAGCGCCACCGUGAGCAGAUCUGGCCGUCGGCGGCAAGAAGGCCACGCCCUCCUCCACCCCUGUACGGUCACCCAGGUAUGAAGCCAUCUCCUUGUCCAUCUGCAUGUGUGGAAUUAAAGGAACUUAGGAUUAGAUCACUGUAUGUACAUGGAGGUAAACUGUAUUUACCUGUCACCUGUACAUGAGUUGCUGGUCAUCUAUGACUUGCAGACAAUUCCAUCAGACUUGGCCAAAAAUACCAAAAUCUUAGCAUCGAUGUAUCAGCUGUACAUAUGUUUAAGGCUGAUGCACCUGUCUAAAUGAAGUAAGCUACAUAAGUAGGAAUUUAUUUUGCUAACUGUUGCAUUUAGCUAUAGUUUUUUGAAUUCUGGUCUUCUAAUUAUCAGAUUUUUAUGCUGCAGGUCUGGUCUAUGCUAAAUGAAUGUUGGUGUGCUAGGGCUAGUUGUAUCUGUAGUGCACGAGUGUGUCCAGGAGAAGGAGCAGCAACUCCUUGGACAAUGGUCUGUCCUAAUGAUGUAUGUUUGUUUGCUAACAUAGUGCUAAUGGGUGUGCAAAUUAAGGUUGGGCCGUGUCUACGGCAGCGGCGGGGACCUCCGCCUGUGGGUCUCCGUCUUGCUGCUCAUCCUCUCUUCUAGGUAAAGACAGCAUUGUCAGAUCGUUUAGCUAUCUGUCAAUAAAUAGUCAUUCUGUUUAUAGUUCGCUGUUGCAGAUUGUUUAUAUAAUUAUCCCUGGUUCUAUUGCUAUUUGGUUUAGGUAUAUUGACUCGUAACGAAGUUACAACAGUAUGGAGUAGAGACAAAUUAUUCUCUCAGAAGUAAACUCGUCUCGGUAAAUACUACAGGAAGCAGUGCAAAUGUUCAUACCAUCCCUGAAUAUAUUGGAUUUAGGUUUUGCGGUAUAUCUGUUCUAUAAAUAUAAUCGUGAAGAGUGCUUGUUCAUUGGAACAUUUUUUCUUCUUCCUGAUUUAGCAUCUUAGUAAAGUAUAACUAUCUACAUAGCAUUUUAUAGGAGGCCACAUUCAGACUUCCGUACUAAAUUCUUCAUAGCCUUAUCGUGAUAGUCUCAAUAUAGCUCUCACAUGAGGCCUACUUAUUAUUUCUCCCACCGUAUUUUGUCCAAACUAUUGGUUUUUCGGUGUUUGUUCGAUUGAUUUUGGACGUAGAGUCCGGAUAAUAGUGUACUAGCCUUGUGAAGGCUCUGUACUAUACCCCUCCACACUGCUCUGUCAAUUUAUUUUGGAAAGAUUAUUGUCCUAUGGUCUUCCGGUAUCUCUCUUUCCAAUUUGCAAAGUGUAUAGUAUUUCUAAUUACUAAUGUACUCUUAUUAUUUCCUCUGAUUGGAUUUUAAAACUGUGGUUCACGCAUCCAUAAUUGAAUUAGAGUAUUAUAAAAGGUUUGGAAGCACCUGAAAUAUUGGAAGAAGCUAAGAAUCUUGCUGCAUCUGGUGUCGGUCACAGAAUUUUCUUCUGGUUCUUGCACGAGGUACUCACACAAUUGCCGCCGGUUCUCUGAUCCUUCUUAUUACAUAGUACACUACUACCUUCUUUACAUUCUUUUGCUUCUCUGGCCCAUCAUCUUUGGGUAUUUACAUGUAAACAGAAAGUGUCGAUGAGGCUGCUGCUACUCUCGCUUCACUUACUGAAUCUUGGCCUUGUGUUCAUCUUCUUGUACUGUCUUGGACAUCACGGACUCCAACCAUUUACGCACAUCUUUAUGAUGGUGUCCCGGAGGCGAUGGAGUCUGCAAAGGAAUUUUCCAUCAGGAUGAGAUAUGCGUCGUUUAUUCAUCUAGAUAACCCUCUUUUCACCACCCUAAAAUUUGUAGCAUACGCUGAUCACACAGAUACCAGAUGUGGUUUAUUCUUAGUUGUUAAUUGUUCUGAAAGUGAUGGAUCAAAUGCCUAUGAAGUUGUUUAUAUUCUUGCAUACUACAAGUAGUUGGGGGCCUGCUAAAUGUUAUGAGCAGGAGAAGGUUCUAUCUAGCAUUAGGGAGGGCUUUAUUUAUAAUCCUAAUAAGUAUUAUGUAAAGUUUUUUUUGUUUUUCUCUUUUGAUCUGAAUGGCAUGGAAAAUAUUGACUCAUUUCAUGUCGUCAUUUCAUUUCAUUUUUCUGUCUUGCUCUGUAAAACUUGCUUUUGUUAAUUAGGCCAAAGUUUUCACCCCUUUUAUAAAAGAAAACAAAUAACUUGAUGCUAACAUGCAUGGUGCUUAUGAGAGAAGACCCCACGCAAAUCGGCGACUGGUGUGUCAAGGUGACCAUCCACCAUUGCUUCUUCGACAGCAUGCGGCCGAUCCACCCACACCUGCGGUUCAGCAAGGUCCACCUCUACAACAAAACUACACCAGUGAUUGGGGCAUAUACGCUGUCUGCGACAGUGUCAAAGCUCAGAUUGUAUCCGGUGUAACAUAUACGAUAGACAGAAGAAGACUGCACCUGCAUCGUCAGACAAGAUGAGACGAGGAUGCUGCUGUAGGCUGCCGACAGAGAACAGAUGGUGGACGCGGGGGGGGGGGGGUUGUGGCAAGAGCAGGGCCUCUCGAGCAAGGCCACGGGAAUCUUCUUUGCCAUGGGCACCUAGGGCUGGUGUGCCAAGAUUGAGACAUCGGCACCCGUUGUCCACAUCGAUGCUGGCAAUGAAAAAAAAAUGCAUGGAUCUGCGCAACCAAAUUUGAUGCCCAUCAACAUCAG